GAAGCAGUUGUGGAAAACUGCUUUAAAUGUCAUAGAGCACUCAGAAGGAAUUCAUAAAUGACCUCAUAAAGAAGUCCACUGUGGUUUCCCUGCAGAGGUGGGAAUAGAAUCAGAGUGCUAAGGAUUGAGGGAUUAAGAGGAGGUGAUUGUAUUAUUCCUCUUUUCAGAUAAUGGAGAGAGAGAAGAGAACAGCAGUAGCCGUUGCCAGAAAUAUUGAGCAAGGCGGAUUUAUUAGAUGAAGAUAUCAAAAUACUUUCCAUUGAGGAAACAGGUUGGAGGUGGGAGGCUGUAACCAUGCUUGAUUUUGUACCACCCUAACCUUUGCUUGAUCCAGGUUCCAGUCCAAUAUGCACCAUUCAGCCUGGUUGCAGCAUGUUAAGCAGCCCUGGAGGCAGCAGAUGAGGGAUCCUAUGAAGCAACUUUCAGACAUUCAGAACCAAGACAAAAAAAAAGAGAAUUAAAGUAAAAUAUGAUGUACCCAGGAGUUACAUCAGUGAACCAAAUACAGCCUCAAAUUUCGAUCUGUGCUUCACAGCAGCCAGCAAAAAGAACAAAACAUAUUUUGUUAGUUCAUAUAAAUAAAUAAAUUAAAAAUGCAUGAAUAAAUAAAUAAAGCAAACCAGUUUCUCGAUUCUGAAAUAUUUUCUGGAAGUGAGAACUGAAAGGAAUUUCCACCAUGGACCCACAAGCAGUUGUUGGUGGCAUAUAUAAUGAGUGCUGGGUGUUAAGGAAGCAAUGGUGAAGGAGAGACACCCUCCCGACCCUCAUGGUGCUUGCAGCCUAGUGGAGCUAUGAAAAGAUAGGCAAGUGAGUCCUAUGAUUGGAGAAGUAAUGAGAAGUAAUGAGAAGCGUCUUCUAAGCAUAGGGGUAAAGACUGCAAAGACCCUGAAGGGAGAAAGUAAUGGCCAUUCUGAGAACUGAAAGUUUGCACAGUGCACAGAGGGCAUGAAGAACGAAGGAAAGAGAUUUUUUUUUUUUUUUUUUUGCCCAAGAUGGCAAGUUGCUUAAAACCUAAAGCUCCUUUCAAUUCUUUACAAUCCAAGAUUAUAUGGAAUGGACUGGGAACAAAGAGAGGGACUGGCAUUUAAAGUCUUUUAUACACUUUGGAACAAAUGUUAUUCUCCAUUCAUCCUGACACUAAAUUGGUUAGCCAAACCCAAAGAUCUACUAAUAAUCCUGCUUUGGCAUGGGAGAAUGAGUGAGAUAAGGAGGCAAUAGAGGAGAUGAAUCGACAAAUGGAAGGAAUAGAAUUCUGGUUGAUGUCCUUGUCUCUAAGCUGUAGCAGCAAGUAUUUAUCCUAAUCAUGUGGUGUUAGCACGGAGAUGAGAAAGAGAGAAAGACAACAUCAUGCUUUGCUGUCUGUGUGUGAACUGAGUAACAGCUGUGAAGGAUCAGUCACCAAAAGACUUUGAAAGAAGAGGCUUGAUUGGUCACGGUAAUGAUGCUCCCCUGGCCAUGGAAGUUUAAUUGGGAGAAAAGAACAUCUGCUUAUACGAAAACAUAUUAUAUUCAGCCAUCCCUGCCCUGACUUUGGCCUUUAAAAACAGUGGCAUUAAUUAUCUCAACAAAUGAAUCUUCGGGAUAAAAAUAAUCUAAAUAUUAUUUUACGCUUACUACAUAUUUGCAACGUGCUAAGCUCUUUAUGGUUGCUACCACAAAAAACAUUUAUAAUAUGAGACUUCACAAGGUUAGGAACAGGCUUCACUUCAUUGUGAUGUGUGUAAGGUGACAGAGGACAUAUAACGAAUACGUGGAAGAACUAGGAAUUUGACCUUAGCUUCCAGACAUUUUGAGGAGGAUACACUAUGUCCAUCUUGCUUUCCUAUCAAGAAAAGUAUACCCAGUUUGUGCAGUAGCCCUGUACCAACAGAUACAUUACAGCAGGUUGUUUCCGUAUUUUGGCUAUUGUGAAUAGUGCUGCAAUAAACAUGGAAGUGCUGAUAUAUCUUUGAGAUCUUGACUUCAAACAAAAGAAGAAAAUCUUGCAAUAUAUGACAACACGGAUUAACCUGGAGGACAUUGUGCUUAGUGAAGUUAGCCAGUCACAGACUGACAAGUACUGCACGAUUCCACUUAUAUGAUGCCACUGAAAGGUAAACAUACCAUUCUGACAUGCAUGAAAAUGAAACGACAAAUUGAUACACGCAGUGCUUGGAAUGGAUGGAGUCCUUCUAAUGAGUGAUUACCUGUGGUAUAACUAUAUUGAUUGUGUUUGUACAUGUCAAAUGGGGCUGGCGAGGAUGAACUUGAAGAAAUCAAUCUUGGAACCUGCUAGGACAGCAGCCUCCUGGUUUCACAGUACUAAAUCAUGACUUCAAAAUUUUGAAGUAAAAGAAAACUGCAAAACUUUGUAAAGGUACCAGUCUCUUCCUGACACUAUUUGCCUUGGCAAAAGAUUCACUGUCAACUUAAAAGACUAACAUGUGCUCAGAUGAUGAUUUGUGGAGGACAGAUAAUUAUGAGUACAUUUAGAAAUACACACUCUUCCAAACCCUGCUCUUUCCAUAUAAUGAAGUUAUUUAUUUCUAUUUUUUAUUUAUUUUUCUAAUAAUUACAAACAUACUUUGGAGACCCACAUUCCUGUAUUAUUCUUUCAACAUACUGAAGAAGAGUUAUUUCUAUGCUUCUUUCUAUGUGUUGGGCUUAAGAUUUAUUAGAAGGAAUGUGUAAAAACAAAGGCAGCAAAGUUUCUAUUUUUAUUGGGAGUCACUCCCGGAGUAAGUGGGGAUAGUUGUGCACACACACACACACACAUUCAUGCACAAAGAAAGAGUGAUCAAGUGUAUAACACACUUUUAGCAGUGUUUUGCUGGAAGAAUAAAGUAUAACUCCUUGUCCGCCCUUUUAUUAUACUGGGGUUCACACUAAGAGAGUCUGAGGACCUGUGGAACUCCCAUUUGCAUGAAAUAACUUUUGCAUCUAUUCUGGAGGAAAACUUCCUAAGGCAGAUUUGGACAGAAAAUUGCUAUCAGCGCAAAUAAAACAAUGCAAAGCCUACUCCGGGGAACGUUGCUCUGCCACCACUACUGAAAUGGGUCAUCCCCUUGGUUUCUGAAUAAAGAAUUAUGAAACCUGGGGCUAGAAUGCUCAGGGAGGAAUUUACCAAUCCAAAUCUUCCCCUUAUGGUAGAGAACAAACUUUCAAGGUUUGUUCUCCACUGUAAGUGUGCGAGGGCUGUUAGGGACCGUAAUAUGGCUGCCGGAGACUGGUGUGUGUACCUCCUUGACUGUACGUCUCAUUUCCAGUUAUGAUUUUACAAUCAUCUCUUUCUCAACCUUUGCUUUUAAAUAUAGGAAGGUACGGCUCACCAUGGAGCGGACAUUUUCUUCAGGAGCGGUACGGUGUCUAAGAUAUGCAGAGGUUGUAUUCUAGUCCUAUAACUCAAUUCUCAAACACAUGGCUUUUAGCCAGGGAUAUCCUAAAGGAAAAUUACACUAUAUGCAACCCCUCCUUACUCCUCAAAUAUUAUCUAUAUUAAACACAGCUGAAAUUUGAGAGUGUCCUUACAGGUGAAAAUUUAACAAUUUAACAAAAGGACACUGCUGAAUGUGUGGGGACAAAGGAAGGAUGAAUCUUUCAUCAUGACAAAAGACUACUUGCCACAUUCUCCCUUAACUUAGAAAAACA
rnacentral:lncRNA from 1 species